GUCCAUUUCCGUGGGACAGCAGCAGCAGCGUGGAAAGUUUUGAUUAUUCAAGGUGAAGCCACGGGAGUUAUCAGAGCAUGCUGACACGGUGUUUGCAGGACUGGAGGGAAGCCAGGACACCUGGACUGUGAGAGCUCUCCCCCUCAACGCGGAACACCAGGGACUUCAGAGGAAGAGCUGUAGAACCAUCACCUGUUGUAACCAGAUUGGUGGCUAUGAACUACCUGCUUUUGAGGUGAUUUUUAAAAUUUAUCAUAUAAUUUCCUAGUGGAAUAACUGUGCCUGGGGUGUUGAA
rnacentral:lncRNA from 1 species